rnacentral:rRNA from 1 species
UACGUAGGGGGCAAGCGUUGUCCGGAAUCAUUGGGCGUAAAGCGCGUGUAGGCGGCCCGAUAAGUCCGCUGUGAAAGUCCAGGGCUCAACCCUGGAAUGCCGGUGGAUACUGUCGGGCUCGAGUCCGGAAGAGGCGAGUGGAAUUCCUGGUGUAGCGGUGAAAUGCGCAGAUAUCAGGAAGAACACCCGUGGCGAAGGCGGUUCUCUGGGACGGUACUGACGCUGAGACGCGAAAGCGUGGGGAGCGAACAGG